CCGGGAUGUUCAUAACCCUUUGUUGUCCGACUCUGUUGCCUCCGGGGCGACCCUGCCUUCGGGCGGGGGCUCCGGGUGGACACUUCAAACUCUUGCGUAACUUUGCAGUCUGAGUAAACUUAAUUAAUAAAUUAAAACUUUUAACAACGGAUCUCUUGGUUCUGGCAUCGAUGAAGAACGCAGCGAAAUGCGAUAAGUAAUGUGAAUUGCAGAAUUCAGUGAAUCAUCGAAUCUUUGAACGCACAUUGCGCCCCCUGGUAUUCCGGGGGGCAUGCCUGUUCGAGCGUCAUUUCACCACUCAAGCCUCGCUUGGUAUUGGGCAACGCGGUCCGCCGCGUGCCUCAAAUCGACCGGCUGGGUCUUCUGUCCCCUAAGCGUUGUGGAAACUAUUCGCUAAAGGGUGUUCGGGAGGCUACGCCGUAAAACAACCCCAUUUCUAAGGUUGACCUCGGAUCAGGUAGGGAUACCCGCUGAACUUAAGCAUAUCAAUAA
rnacentral:rRNA from 1 species